UACAGAGGGUGCGAGCGUUGUCCGGAAUCACUGGGCGUAAAGGGCGCGUAGGCGGUCUGGUAAGCGUGUGGUGAAAGCUCGGGGCUCAACCCCGAGUCGGCCGUGCGAACUGCUGGACUGGAGCAUGUCAGAGGCAGGCGGAAUUCCGGGUGUAGCGGUGGAAUGCGUAGAGAUCCGGAAGAACACCAGUGGCGAAGGCGGCUCACUGGCUCAUACUGGACGCUGAGGUGCGAAAGCGUGGGGAGCAAACAGG
rnacentral:rRNA from 1 species